GUAUAAAAUGACCAUAAUUUGAAA
rnacentral:snRNA from 1 species